rnacentral:rRNA from 1 species
CUCACGGGCUUUCUAUCAUAUCCAUAACACCUGUGCACUUGUUGGAUGAUCUAAAGACAUAGGGUAAAACCUAAAGUCAAUAGUCAUCCACUUACACUAAACAAUAAUGUAACAAAUGUAGUCUUAUUAUAACAAAAUAAAACUUUCAACAACGGAUCUCUUGGCUCUCGCAUCGAUGAAGAACGCAGCGAAAUGCGAUAAGUAAUGUGAAUUGCAGAAUUCAGUGAAUCAUCGAAUCUUUGAACGCACCUUGCGCUCCUUGGUAUUCCGAGGAGCAUGCCUGUUUGAGUGUCAUGAAAACCCUCAACCUUAGAUUGGUUAUUUGACCUUUCUUUGGCUUGGAUUUGGACGUUUGCCGAUGUCAAGUCGGCUCGUCUUAAAAGUAAUAGCUGGAUCUGUCUCGCGACAUGGUUUGACUUGGCGUAAUAAGUAUUUCGCUAAGGACAUCUUCGGAUGGCCCUGUUGCAGGACUAAAGACCGCUUUCUAAUCCAUUGAUCUUCGGAUUAAUAUUCAUAACAUCUGGCCUCAAAUCAGGUAGGACUACCCGCUGAACUUAAGCAUAUCAAUAAGCGGAGGA